rnacentral:rRNA from 1 species
AUACGUAGGUGGCAAGCGUUGUCCGGAAUUAUUGGGCGUAAAGCGCAUGUAGGCGGUGCCUUAAGUCUGUCGUGAAACUGCGGGGCCUAACCCCGUAUGGCGAUGGAAACUGUGGCACUUGAGUGCAGGAGAGGAAAGGGGAACUCCCAGUGUAGCGGGGAAAUGCGUAGAUAUUGGGAAGAACACCGGUGGCGAAGGCGCCUUUCUGGACUGUGUCUGACGCUGAGAUGCGAAAGCCAGGGUAGCGAACGGGAUUAGAUACCCCGGUAGUCCUGGCCGUAAACGAUGGGUACUAGGUGUGGGAGGUAUCGACCCCUUCCGUGCCGGAGUUAACGCAAUAAGUCCCCCGCCUGGGGAGUACGGCCGCAAGGCUUAAACUCAAAUGAAUUGACGGGG